UGGAUCCAGACUUUGAUUCUGGCUCAGGAUGAACGCUAGCUACAGGCUUAACACAUGCAAGUCGAGGGGAAACGAUAUUGGAAGCUCGCUUCCGAUAGGCGUCGACCGGCGCACGGGUGAGUAACGCGUAUCCAACCUGCCCACCACUUGGGGAUAACCUUGCGAAAGUAAGACUAAUACCCAAUGAUAUCUCUAGAAGACAUCUGAAAGAGAUUAAAGAUUUAUCGGUGAUGGAUGGGGAUGCGUCUGAUUAGCUUGUUGGCGGGGUAGCGGCCCACCAAGGCGACGAUCAGUAGGGGUUCUGAGAGGAAGGUCCCCCACAUUGGAACUGAGACACGGUCCAAACUCCUACGGGAGGCAGCAGUGAGGAAUAUUGGUCAAUGGACGAGAGUCUGAACCAGCCAAGUAGCGUGCAGGAAGACGGCCCUAUGGGUUGUAAACUGCUUUUAUAAGGGAAUAAAGUUAGUCUCGUGAGACUUUUUGCAUGUACCUUAUGAAUAAGGACCGGCUAAUUCCGUGCCAGCAGCCGCGGUAAUACGGAAGGUCCGGGCGUUAUCCGGAUUUAUUGGGUUUAAAGGGAGCGUAGGCCGGAGAUUAAGCGUGUUGUGAAAUGUAGACGCUCAACGUCUGCACUGCAGCGCGAACUGGUUUCCUUGAGUACGCACAAAGUGGGCGGAAUUCGUGGUGUAGCGGUGAAAUGCUUAGAUAUCACGAAGAACUCCGAUUGCGAAGGCAGCUCACUGGAGCGCAACUGACGCUGAAGCUCGAAAGUGCGGGUAUCGAACAGGAUUAGAUACCCUGGUAGUCCGCACGGUAAACGAUGGAUGCCCGCUGUUGGUCUGAAUAGGUCAGCGGCCAAGCGAAAGCAUUAAGCAUCCCACCUGGGGAGUACGCCGGCAACGGUGCAACUCAAAUGAAUUGACGGA
rnacentral:rRNA from 1 species